rnacentral:rRNA from 1 species
UAAUACGGAGGGAGCUAGCGUUGUUCGGAAUCACUGGGCGUAAAGCGCGCGUAGGUGGUCUUAUAAGUUGGAAGUGAAAUCCCAGAGCUUAACUUUGGAAUUGCUUUCAAAACUGUAGGACUCGAGAAUGGUAGAGGGAAGUGGAAUUCUUAGUGUAGCGGUGAAAUGCGUAGAUAUUAAGAGGAACACCGGAGGCGAAGGCGGCUUCCUGGGCCAUUUCUGACACUGAGGCGCGAAAGCGUGGGGAGCAAACAGG